GGCCGGAUAAGGCGUUUACGCCGCAUCCGGCGGUUGUGCACGGAUGCCUGAUGCGACGCUGACGCGUCUUAUCAUGCC
rnacentral:ncRNA from 1 species